UGUCGACUGAUAGUGAGAAUAAUAUGAUUUUCUCCUACUCUUUCUUCCCUUUUUCUUUUAUCUCCUUGAUCCUUUUCGUCAAUGGAAUUUUAAUCGAGA
rnacentral:ribozyme from 1 species